rnacentral:tRNA from 1 species
UGGUUUAGUGGUAAAAUCCAACGUUGCCAUCGUUGGGCCCCGGGUUCGAUUCC